GAGCUUUUCCAGAGGAAGGGCUGAUGAGAAGAGUCGCAGCUGAAUAGUGAGAGAAAAAGCCUGGUAUUUAUUGCUUUUGUUUGGCUUUUGGCUACAGAGACAGGAACCUUCUAAUGGGACAGGGUUUCUCUGUGUAGCCCUGGCUAUCCUAGACCUUGCUGUGAAGACCGGCUGGCCUUGAACUCAGAGAUCAACCUGCUUCAGGAUGGCUGGUAUUAAAGCACAGUCUUUCUGUAAUUCAAAACUCAGUCUGCAAACCAACGGAAAGGAGAGGAGGAAGCUAGAAGAGUUGCACAGACCACUUAGGCCCUGGCAGUGGGCAGAUGGGACCAGUGCCUAAGACAGCAGCAUUGUCUGAGAGGAGAGUGCACUUGUGACCAAAUAAACUCCUGAAAUGCUGAGCAAAAGGUAGUGGAACAGAUGGAGAUUUGAAACCACAACUGUGGAAACAGACCUGCAUAGGGUCAAGCCAGGUGGGGUUUGAGCACUGAGAGGAGAAAACUGCUGAGGGAUUCUAACCUACGAAUCAAGGACCUAUUUAUAAUCGACCCUGGUUCAAAGGGAAAAGUCAGUUUGUUCCACUAGUGUGCCACUAGGUAUAUCAAUCACACUGCAGGAUAGACCCAUGCCCAGGAGAGACCCAUCCAUGCCCAGGAGUGGUUGUCCAACAUAAAGCACACUCUGUGGAAUUUAUUUUGGACUUUA
rnacentral:lncRNA from 1 species